GCCACACACGACGGUCGGGAUUCGAAAAGCUUCGCUUUUCUCGGCGAAUCUCGAAGGUGACUGCGAGGAUCUCGGUGGUGAGACAAGGCUGAGGUGUAGCGCGCUGAUGGAGCCUUGACGUGAGGCCAAUAGACACUCCCCGAAAGUUCUGGAGCUUCGUGAAACGAAAGGGCACUAAUUGGGCAUGACGUUUGAGGCGCCUGAAGCUUCCAGAAUCUUUUGCGGCGUGAGGAUAAAGAGAGCUAGGGUUUCUAACCCUAUCUGAAAGUCAUUUGGGCCCCCUACUAUUUAGGCCUUCGGGUUUAUUGGUAUUAGGUGGGUCUGUUUGGGUCUGUUGUAAUAGGUCCAGUUUAAGUUGGGCUACGGGUGUAUUUGGGUACAUGGGUAGUGGGAUUUAGGUUUGAAGGUUUUAAAUAUUGGGCCAAUAGUGUUUGGGCUCUUGUAAGCUGGACUGUUUUAAACAAACAUUUAUUUAUAUAUUUUAAAAGCCCGGACAAAUUUGGGCUAUUACACAAAUAAAAA